rfam:Pseudodesulfovibrio indicus strain J2 chromosome, complete genome.
AGGCGCGUAGCUCAGGGGGAGAGCAUUUGCUUGACGUGCAAAGGGUCGUGGGUUCAAAUCCCUCCGCGCCUA